AAGCCCGAAUGUAUGAUCCUGGCUCAAAGUAAACGCAGUAUCUAGACCUAACACAUGUUGGUGAAGAGAUUAGAAGAUCAAUUUGCGGAGAGGUGAGUAAGAAAGAAAUUUACCCUUUAACCCUCAUAGAAGGUUAUUAUAAAGUAAAGGAUAAUUAAUUUUGAAGAUUAGAUAAAAGAUGAAAAUCUUGUCGAUAAUCUUUAGCAUAACGCCACAAUAACUCAAAAGUUGAGAGUUAUCCCAUGGCAGCAGUGAGGAAUAUUAGGCAAUCGGUGAAAACUGGACCUAGUCUAGAUAAGGCAAGGCAUAUAUAGCUAAGCCCUAAUCUAUCGCAAUUCGUGAUAAUGCAGCACUACACAACACAGCAGGGUAUCAUUGAAUCAAUAAAAUGAAUAUUUAGAUUAGAAAUUCUGGCGAAAUCUGUGCCAGCAGCCGCGGUAACACAGAUAGAAUAGCGUUACUAUUUAAUUAAUAGGCAUGAAGCGUAUUUAGAUGGUUAAAAAACUAGAGUAAUAAAGGAGUAAUAGGAAUAAUCGGUGUAGAGAUGAAAUGUGUAAAUAUCGAUUGGAACUACAAAGGCGACGGCAUAUUGCUAUUUAUUACUGACAUUUCAAUACUAAAGUAUGGGCAGUAACGAGGAUUAGAGACCCUUUUAAUCCAUACCCUAAAUACUGAAUGAGAAUCAAAUUAUAAAUAUCAUUCCGCCUGGAUAGUAGGAUGGCAACAUUGAAACCCAAUGGAAUAGACGGGUCUUGAGAUAAGCCGUGAAGCAUGUGGUUUAAUUGGAUGAUCCCCCUUUAAUCUUACCUUUUCUUUUAAAUGGUGUUGCAUGGCUGUUGAUUAGCUUUUGAAGUAAUUUUUAAAAAGCAAUUCACCUCAUAGGAGGUUUCACUUCAAGUACGCAUGGCCCAAUGAAAAGGGCUACACACAUGCCACAAUUUCUAAUCCAAUUUCGAAAAUUAGAAGAAGUACAGAUUUUUAACUGAAACUCGUUAAAAUGAAGCUGGAAUGGCUAGUAAUCGUGUAAUAGUAAGAUACGGUGAAUAAUUAAAUCAAGAUUGUACUAACCGCCCGUCAAGGCAAUCUAGAUAUAUAAAGAAGCAAUAGAAAUUCGAAUAUUCUGGUUUGAUUUAUCAAUUUGAAAUUGAAUUUAAUUCUCAUGUAUAUCAAGAAGGUUUAAGUCGUAACAAGGUCACCGUACUGGAAGGUGUGGUGUAAACCGUAACAGG
rnacentral:rRNA from 1 species